AUAGUUAGGGUGGCUUGGUCAUAAUCAGUGCAAAAACAAUGUCUUUUUUUCUGUUUUGUUUUUAGUUUUGCUUUUAUCAAAGUUCCAUUAGCACUAGAAAGGAUGCUUUUGUACAGAACUUUCUACAGAUUGAGGUUAAAACCAUGGGAUGAAGCUGCCAGGACUUUACUAAACAGAAUGAUUUCAAGUUUUCUCUGGACCACUUGGCUACUACCAGUGAAAGAAUGAAAGGGUACUCUGUCCAGGACUGGGCAGUGUGGAAUUUCAAGAGGGAAUAAUAGUAUUCAAUUGUCAUGAAUUGGGGAGAUACACAACACAAAUUUGGAUUCUUAUCUCCCAUGGAGAAAAGAUGGAAUGUUUUAUGCCUUUUAACCAUCUGCAAAAUGUAUGGCAGUAGUAAAAUGCUAACAAGAUCUUGAGGUUAUUGCAUCAAUAAACUCCAGGCACAGGAUUAAAAUGAUUGAUACUGAAAAACAUAGAGGUGUAGACAUAGCUGCAACUCAAAAAGAGGGUCAUAAAACAGGAAGAAUAAAAACUUAUACAAACCACUGGACUCUUUGGACACCUGAGAUUGAGAUCCCCAUGAGUAUUACACACCAUCUUUAACUUCCUGUUACUUAACAAGUAAGUAUCUUUAUUGUGUUUUAUGUCUUUGGUAAACACAAAUAUCUUAAAAUGGUAUCUUCUCUUGAGGCUCAUUAAAUAAUGAAACAUGAUAAUUCUGUCUUUAGCAUUCUCCUGGAAAAGUCUGAAAAUGGAGUUAAAUGCUCAUUUAGGAAAAACAGUGUUUGAUAUUUCUUUGAGAUAGAUGAUUUAUUAGAUUUUAUAUUUACAUCCGUUUUUUGCCUCCAAACUUCUGUAUCUCAGGUGGAUGAUCUUUCAAAAGUGGUUGACAAAGAUGUAAACUCCUGUUCAUGUGUGCUUAGAUUGGAAAGGGG
rnacentral:lncRNA from 10 species